rnacentral:rRNA from 1 species
GAUGAACGCUGGCGGCGUGCCUAAUACAUGCAAGUCGAGCGAACGGACGAGAAGCUUGCUUCUCUGAUGUUAGCGGCGGACGGGUGAGUAACACGUGGAUAACCUACCUAUAAGACUGGGAUAACUUCGGGAAACCGGAGCUAAUACCGGAUAAUAUUUUGAACCGCAUGGUUCAAAAGUGAAAGACGGUCUUGCUGUCACUUAUAGAUGGAUCCGCGCUGCAUUAGCUAGUUGGUAAGGUAACGGCUUACCAAGGCAACGAUGCAUAGCCGACCUGAGAGGGUGAUCGGCCACACCGGAACUGAGACACGGUCCAGACUCCUACGGGAGGCAGCAGUAGGGAAUCUUCCGCAAUGGGCGAAAGCCUGACGGAGCAACGCCGCGUGAGUGAUGAAGGUCUUCGGAUCGGAAAACUCUGUUAUUAGGGAAGAACAUAUGUGUAAGUAACUGUGCACAUCUUGACGGUACCUAAUCAGAAAGCCACGGCUAACUACGUG